GCGCGAGUGGCGGAACGGUAGACGCGCUGUCUUCAGGUGGCAGUGUCCGCAAGGGCGUGGAGGUUCAAAUCCUCUCUCGCGCA
rnacentral:tRNA from 1 species